UGCAGCAAGCAGGUCCCCCAAGAAGGGGUCCAGUCCACAAGUUUAAUCUUCAGGGCCAGCUUCCGGGGUGCUCCAGCAGGGCUGCACACACAAAUGGGCCCUGUACUUGCUCUGAUUUUUUUUUUUCCGUCACCAUUUUGAAAUUCUGAAUACCUUUUUGAAUCGUGUCCGUUUUGCUACGGGCCCUGCAACUAUGCAGCCAGCCCCGCUGUUCAUGGCUGCACGUAAGAGGAGCCGGGUGCUGUAGGCGUUCAUGGGCCAGAAGAGAGUCCUUUCCAACUGAAGGUAAGGAAACGUAAUGACACAGAACCACCUUGGCUACAGCCCAGCGAGAGGUGGAGAUGCUGCUGCAACUAGCCUGGCAGCUGGGAGCCAGCUCCUCACACGUGCCAGCUGUGCCAGCAGAGCGAAAGCACAGGCGAGCAGCGUGAAGUGACUGCAGACAGUGGAAAGGCGAAGACGGUUCCCAAAGAAGAGGCCAUGUGUGUGUGAUGGGCUGGUGACUGGGGCUCCACCACUCUUCCACGGGCUUGUGCUUCAUCCUGCUUCCUGGCAGAAGACAUCCCAGGUGGCUCCCCGGCCCCCACAGAGGGAACCUGGGCAGAUCAAGGAAAAAUGACCCGCAUGGAGACAGAGCCACUAGUACAGCUAAACCAACAAAAACAGGAGUCAAGAUAAAGUCACAACAAAAUGUAUUUAAAAACCGGUUUCUCCAGUUGGCAUUUUGAAUGAGACACUUUACAAUGAACUUCCACCCUCCUCUGCUGUGUUUCUUGGGCUCCUGGAGUCCUUUUGUGGCUUUAAUUCUUGAAACUCCGGCAGCAGCACCAGACGUGUCAGCCCCAAGGGGAGAGGUAUUAUGAAGCCGUUCUUUCUGAACGCAAAUGAACAAAUUCCUAAACCCUCUUCUAUUCAUCUCAUGACGAUCAUUAGAAAAAAAAAUUAAGCCAAACUUUGCAUCCUGAAAAUGAAACAAAAACCGCACACAAAAAAACAUCUUGCAGAUAAUAAAUAUCGCCGAUCCACUUAUUUCAACAAAGUCCAAUUUUAUUGGCUCUUAAUACCCUUGCAGACCAUUGUACACCUUCUGCACUGAUCCUUGUUUAAGUAGUUGUUUGAUACCUGAGGGAAGAACGGACAAAUAAAUAAACCUGCUAACAAAAACGUGCUAGCUUCCGUAGAGCUUAAAGAGCAUUCGCAUGUGGAAGUUCCCCAAAGCCUGCUGACAACCACAGGUCUGCAUUAAACAAAGACCACCAUGGAGCUACCAGCACAGGGGCAUCCAGUAGAGCCCAUCUGUUUUUUUCUGUCUCUCAGGCGCACACACACCACACUACCCACAUCCCCUUGUGAAGAAAUGAGAAAACGCAAUAAAAAAAAAGAAAGAGACAAUGUGCAACAGCUACCUUCCAUCCCUUUGUGUGGUCUCUGUUUCAGUUUCCACCUCUUUAGGACGUUUUGCAGCAAGGAUCUACUACUCAGGCCCCUCAACCAGGGAUCCCAAAGCCCACCCAAAGCUCUACUCUGCCGGAGGUUGCCUUUUGCAAUGCUGUCCAGCUGAGCUGUUUCACCAGCGUAUGUCUCACACUCACACACCCCUGUGGUAGUCACCUAAUCUGGUGUCAAUGUAAGGAUUAAGAGUGUAGAGGUGGA